UACGUAGGGUACAAGCAUUAAUCGGAAUGAUUGGGCGUAAAGGGAGUGUAGGCGGAACAAUAAGUCAGAUGUGAAAUUCCAAAGCUUAACUUUGGAGCUGCAUUUGAAACUAUAGUUCUUAGAGGGAUGGAGGGGAAAGCGGAAUUCCACAAGUAGCGGUGAAAUGCGUAGAUAUGUGGAGGAACACCGGUGGCGAAGGCGGCUUUCUAUCUAUCACCUGACGC
rnacentral:rRNA from 1 species